CGCAGCCGCGGUAUUCCAGCUUCAAUAGCGUAUAUUAGAGUUGUUGCAGUUAAAAAGCUCGUAGUUGAAUUUCGGGAUCAAUAUAUCGGUCGUACUUCUGGUACGUACUGGUAUCAUUGAUUUCUCCCUUCUGACGAACCAUGAUGUCAUUAAUUUGGUGUUAUGGGGAGUUAGAACUGUUACUUUGAAAAAAUUAGAGUGUUUAAAGCAGGCAUUAGCUUGAAUACAUUAGUAUGGAAUAAUGAAAUAGGAUGUUUGACCCUAUUUUGUUGGUUUCUAGGAUCGACGUAAUGAUUAAUAGGGAUAGUUGGGGGCAUUAGUAUUCAAUUGUCAGAGGUGAAAUUCUUGGAUUUAUUGAAGACUAACUACUGCGAAAGCAUUUGCCAAGGAUGUUUUCAUU
rnacentral:rRNA from 1 species